GACGAACGCUGGCGGCGUGCUUAACACAUGCAAGUCGAACGAAGUGGCGAACGGGUGAGUAACGCGUAAUCAACCUGCCCUUCAGCGGGGGACAACAGUUGGAAACGACUGCUAAUACCACAUACUGAAGGAGGGGAUUGGGUAUGAUUAGCUAGUUGGAGGGGUAACGCCCCACCAAGGAGAUGAUCAGUAGCCGGUCGGAGAGGAUGAACGGCAACAUUGGGACUGAGACACGGCCCAGACUCCUACGGGAGGCAGCAGGGGGGAAUCUUCCGCAAUGGAAGAAAGUCUGACGGAGCAACGCCGCGUGAGUGAUGACGGCCUUCGGGUUGUAAAGCUCUGUUAAUCGGGACGCGGUACCGGAAUAGAAAGCCACGGCUAACUACGUGCCAGCCGCCGCGGUAAUUC
rnacentral:rRNA from 1 species